GAUGAACGCUGGCGGCGUGCCCAAUACAUGCAAGUCGAGCGAACGGACGAUAAGCUUGCUUUUCUGAUGUUAGCGGCGGACGGGUGAGUGACACGUGGAUAAGCUACCUAUAAGACUGGGAUAACUUCGGGAAACAGGAGCUAAUACUGCAGAAUAUUUUGAACCGCAUGGUUCAAAAGUGAAAGACGGUCUUGCUGUCACUUAUAGAUGGAUCCGCGCUGCAUUAGCUAGUUGGUAAGGUAACGGCUUACCAAGGCAACGAUGCAUAGCCGACCUGAGAGGGUGAUCGGCCACACUGGAACUGAGACACGGUCCAGACUCCUACGGGAGGCAGCAGUAGGGAAUCUUCGGCAAUGGGCGAAAGCCUGACGGAGCAACGCCGCGUGGGUGAUGAAGGUCUUCGGGUCGUAAAACUCUGUUAUUAGGGAAGAACAUAUGUGUAAGUAACUGUGCACAUUUUGACGGUACCUAAACAGAAAGCAACGGCUAACUACGUG
rnacentral:rRNA from 1 species